GCCUACGGGACGCAGCAGUGGGGAAUAUUGCACAAUGGGGGAAACCCUGAUGCAGCGACGCCGCGUGAGUGAAGAAGUAUUUCGGUAUGUAAAGCUCUAUCAGCAGGGAAGAUAAUGACGGUACCUGACUAAGAAGCCCCGGCUAACUACGUGCCAGCAGCCGCGGUAAUACGUAGGGGGCCAGGGUUAUCCGGAUUUACUGGGUGUAAAGGGUGCGUAGGUGGCAGGGCCGGUCAGAUGUGAAAGCCCGGAGCUCAACCCCGG
rnacentral:rRNA from 1 species